rnacentral:rRNA from 1 species
CCUACGGGAGGCAGCAGUGGGGAAUAUUGGGCAAUGGGCGCAAGCCUGACCCAGCAACGCCGCGUGAAGGAAGAAGGCUUUCGGGUUGUAAACUUCUUUUCUGGGGGACGAACAACUGACGGUACCCCAGGAAUCAGCCACGGCUAACUACGUGCCAGCAGCCGCGGCAAUACGUAGGUGGCAAGCGUUAUCCGGAUUUAUUGGGUGUAAAGGGCGUGUAGGCGGGAAUGCAAGUCAGAUGUGAAAACUAUGGGCUCAACCCAUAGCCUGCAUUUGAAACUGUAUUUCUUGAGUGCUGGAGAGGCAAUCGGAAUUCCGUGUGUAGCGGUGAAAUGCGUAGAUAUACGGAGGAACACCAGUGGCGAAGGCGGAUUGCUGGACAGUAACUGACGCUGAGGCGCGAAAGCGUGGGGAGCAAACAGGAUUAGAUACCCCUGUAGUC